ACUGGCUUCGACGUGGAUCACGAAACCUUCGGAGCAUGCCGAGGUCGCAGAGUACCUCGUAAAAAAGCUGCAAUCUUACAGUUGCCAACGACGACAACUACUCCCUGGCUGCUUAAUCCAGCCAGCCUCUGACUGAGUCGGGCCUGUACGCUCAGGCAUCAGGGGUCGAACUUCACAGGAUCGCGUGACGGCCCGUCCAUCGGCCUGAUCGUUAAAACCAAGAUGGACUCACCGAGGACGAGCCUGUCAGCCGGCGCGUCCAAGGUUAAACAAAAGACUGACUAAGCAUGUAGCUGCCGAUGAGCGUAGGAUUUGCGGACGCGGGUUCGAUUGA
rnacentral:tmRNA from 1 species